CAGAGCAACGUUUUUUAUGAAAAUGCCUCAACGGAAAUCCUCUGUAUAGUCAUAUCGAACCUGACCCAUUUGCCAGACCAAAUUAAACAUGAGCUUGCCGAUUAGGCUAAUUCCAAGGCAUGGUGCUCCUUGAACGUGUGGGGCAAUGUACCAUUUUAGUGGGGGUAUAAUCAGGGAAUAUUGUGAACACUGUGUACAACGGUAUAUUUUCUUAUUUUUUUAAUGAACAUAAAAGUAAUUCUCUGACAGUGACAUGGCUUUAGCAGCGCUAGCAAGAGAGAGGGAGGGUCUUCUAACUAUGGAUAUCCGACCCCGUCUCAUGUUUUUGUAGUUGUUCUUCUUGUCAUGUUCUUAUUUUUCACGCUCGAGGCACUGUUUACUUGUAUGUCAGAUAAUAUGAUGUAAGAGACAGAAUUCCAGCUCCCCCUCCAAGGGAUUUAUUGGGAAUUUAUGUAAUGUGCAUCAUAAUGGUGUAUUAAUGGUCUCUUAACUCUUUGUGGUUAUCCCCCUGCAGAGCAGCCUGCUAAUCAGGGACACGGAAACUAGGGCGCUCUUCUAUUUUACCUGUUAUGUUAUCUAAUAUUUAUUUCGACAUAACUACUGGUACUGAGUAAUAUAAACAGGGUUAUAUUACUUAUUUUUGGCGCCCCCUGCGGACGGAUGCGCCCUUAGCAUUCGCCUAUACUGCCUAUGCCCAGGGCCGGGCCUGUAUUUAUGUAAAGCAUUAUUAAAAAAUGUGCAUGGGCCAGGCUAAAUUUGCAUGCGUUGGGCUAAGCCCCGGAUAUUUCAGAGACCUAGAAACGCCCCUGCAAUUCCGUCGCUCAGACUAGGACUUCAGACUACAGAGCGUAAACGUUCAUUAACACAGACUGGAGUCAACAUCUUCCAAACGCCCUGUGCCUUUAUCGGACUAUUGCAGUAAGCCUGGGUGAGUCGUGUGUGAUUCGCUCUUACUCUGGAUGGUCUGUGUCAGCGAAGAUAACGAGCUCGGGAAUCGAGGCAGUGACGCGAGGCAGUAACACUUCAGAGCGAUUCAAAGUUUAUUGAGAUACAUGAAGCUAGUUUGUAGGUCCUACAAAGGAAAAUCACGCCUCAUGACGUGAAGUCUAGUCUUGUUAUCUCAGGGCUUGCAACUCAGAGUGAAGCGAAAUAGCGUCGUAGGCCUACCCAUAAAGGUGGCACAAACGGUUAAAAAUAAGAAUAAUGCAUAGAUGAAACAUACAUGAUACAACAACUAAAUUAUUACACAUGCCCAGUUUCUGAUGCAUUAGUAGAGAUUUUUAUUUCUAGCUUUGGAUGUGAUGCUUUAUGAUUCCAAACUAAUGAACAAAUGAAGGAACUGUCAUCGUUUGAACAGCACACCGAACCAAACAAGAACCCCAGGGAAUGUCCUCCUGGGAGAUGAUGAAGCUUCUUGUUCUGCUGCUGGUGUUCUGUUGGAUGGCCUGCGUAGAGGGAGAUGAGGGUAAAGCUGAACCUCCAGGGUCUACCUGUGAGAUGUACACAGAUAUGAAGACUUUUUUUGUCACUGAGGGGGAGGCUCUUCGCAUCGUACCAGAUGGUCUGCAGGGGGGCAAUUGGAACGACUCCCAACAUGACCUGUUCACCUGGCACCGCCAGGGGGGAGAGACCAAUUUCUCCACCUCAGAGGAGGAGCGGAUCCAUCAACAUGGCCCUGCCCUCUUCUUCCUCCCUCUAUCCAUCAACGACACCGGUCACUACAUUGCCCGGCUCGACUACUUGGGGAAAUGCCACAUCUUCUACGUUCCUCUGCUUGUGACCAGCGAUCCCCUGGAAACUUUCUACACCCCCAUCGAGAGCUCUGACUCUAACCCCCAAGUCCCCUGUCCGGAGCAGGUCACGGACGUGUGCAAAGACUUCAGAGGAGUUCUCAGCUGGUACCAGAACUCCAGUCUGAUGGUGGGGGAGAAACUCCCUACACUGCAGCUGCAAGGACACACCAUGCCGUACAUGGCCGUGUACAAGUGUGUGUGCACGUGGAAACACAAUGAGAAGCCGUACAACUCCACGGCCUCCAGAGAGCUGAAGAUGAUGGAGCUGCCGGCUAAUCAGGAUAUCCAAAUCGUCCUUCCUACCACCACAGAGCUGACCGUUCACCCAGGUUCCCCGCUGGAGAUCCAGUGUGUGGCCUUCUUUGGGACCAACUUCAAAAGUCCCUGUGAAGUUCGCUGGGAAAGAACAACCACAGUAUAUCUGGGAUGGAGGGUUACCAGCAGACCUUCUUCAGGGAGACAGUGGAGUCAUCCAAGAAGAGCUUUUGCUCCUCCACCCUUACUAUUGAGAAGGUCCAGGGGUCCGACCUCCAAACCUCCUUCAGGUGUAGGGCCUCCAACCACAGAGAAACCAGAUUCCACACUCUCAGCCUCAAGCUUGCAGAAUCGAGGAGCUACCUUGUGGUUGCGGUGGUGUGUGUCAGCAUUGUGUUCCUGUUAGCCGCCCUCACCAUCAAAUACUUCUUUAUGGACCUGGUUCUGUUUGGCAGAAGGUUCCUGAAAUGCUGCAAGGCCAGCAGCGAUGGGUUGCUGUACGACAUCUACGUGGUGUACCACUCUCAGGAGAAGAGUGAGGGAUCCUGAACCGCUUCCUCUCCCAGGCCCUGCCCCACGUCCUGGAGCAGAAGUGUGGCUACAGGGUCUUCACCCAUAGCCCUAACGACACACCCAGAGCAGACCGGUUGGAGGUGGUGAAGGAGUACGUGAGGCUGUGCAGGAGGCUGAUGGUGGUGCUCCCUCCGGGGUUAGAGAUCCAUGAGACCCUGGGCUCUUCCCCCACGCCCUGUAGGGAUGAUGUUGAGUGGCAGGUUGGGCUCCACGAGGCCUUGGCCCAGGAUACGAGAGUGAUCCUGGUCCAGCUGGGUGAGGUGGGACCCCAGGGCUACACCCAUCUCUCCCCCACCCUGCAGAACUUUAUCCACAAACGUUCCCCCCUCUGCUGGUUGGAGGACUCACCAGGCGCCGCAGACUGGAACUCACGUUUCUGGAAGAGGGUGCGCUACGAGAUGCCCGUCGUGUCCGCCAAACCCUCUUCUCUUUCUGUUUUGUGAGAGGUUCUUGGGUAAUGAGUUUACCAUGAUGUUAAUAAUGUUGAGCAUCAGUAUCACUAUUAAUUAUUCAAACCGAAAACUGGAGAACGCAGACACAGGAGAUUUAAUGAAGAAAGCCCUGAUUUAUUAAUAAACGGGGAGGCAGGAAGAUGGGUAGGGUUCUUCAAUGGAGGGCAUUCAUAACAUAGGUCAGUAAGAACAUCAAAAAGUUUCAAGAAAAACCAUGGAGACGUAGGCCUAUUUAAAUUCCAAACGAUGCGCAACCAUUUGCUCACUUGGUUUACAGAGGUCUAGAGUCACAAGUGAGCAAGUGAUUUAAAAAAAAAUUAUAGGCCAACGUAUUUAACGAGGAACCAGUGAUUAAAUUGAGGAACUGAAAAUCCCUGCUCACUGGUCGGAAAUGUUACAUACGAUUGGUGUUAUACAACUGUUUAAGCGACCUUGAGUGUGAUAAAGGUGCUGUAUAAAAUAAACAUAUUUUUAUUAUU